CGAGAGAGAGUCUGUCUGGACCGAGAGAGAGAGGAUUUACCUCCUUGAUGUGAGCCGUGGCCUGAGAUGGACAGAAAAUUGUUUUGUCAUUAAAGGACUCAGGAGUGACCCACGCCAAAACAACAAACAAAAUAGGCUAAUGCCACAAAUUCAACCUACCUUCCCUGAACAAAAAUGAAAGUACAAUCACUACCCCUAUGUCCCUAGCCAACGCGUUCAAUAAACAGAAAUAAACAGAUAAACAGUCACUCCCUACAUACACUCUAUGACAAUCACUCUCGCAAAGCAUCAAAGCUGAGGGCUGGGUUUAAUCAUAGUCGAAAUACAAAGCUAGAAUGUCAGUACACAGAAAUCAGGCAGAGGAUUAGUGACAGUACCAACAAAAAGCAAAAAAAGAGUUACCAGGCAACAAACCAAGGUCAUACGGGAGUAGACAAAUCAAAGUCUGCAAAUCACAAACCAAAAUGGGAGAGAGCAUGCCAACAAGAAGCUGUUGGUUUUGAUGUUGCCAGUCCUUUCUAUGGUGUGGAGGGUCUGGAACUGAUGGCAUAGAUCGAACAAGGCUUAGGUAGAGCUCCGGUGGAGCCGAAGAAUCCCCAGAUCAGGUCAGGCAUCUUGACGUCAGCAUCGGUCGAAGCAACCAUACGGCACAGAACAACGCUUACAGCAUGUAACACACCUUACGGCAUGGAACAAAACUUACAACAUGUAACAUGGGGUUGCCCAUCUGCCGAAAUGUCGCCAAAGGAAGAAAAGUGGCAAAUGAGCUGAAAUUUUGAUCAGACUUAGGUGGCAUAUCAACCGGCCUCUGCUCCCCUGACUAGCAUACAGUCCCUAGAGAACAAGCUCUGUGAGUUCUGGGCAUGAAUCUCAUUCCAACAAGAGACACGGGACUGCUCCAUUAUCUGCCUCACAAAGACCUGCCUGUUGGAGGUGGAACCAGGAUGCAAGACAUCAUGAGGAAAAGGAAAGGAGGAUUUCUAGGUGCAGCCAGAGUGUUGAGGGAGUCCAGUUUGGUGGCCUCAGGAUUGCAUCGCUGCUUUUUGCAGAUGACAUAGUCCUGUCGGCUUCAUCUGCUGGGGACUCCAGCGAGCUCUGGGGUGGUUCGCAGCCAAGUGUGAAGCAGUGGGGAUGAGGAUUAGCACCUCCAAGUCCGAGACCAUGGUUCUCAGCCGGAAACAGAUGGAUUGCCCUCUUCAGGUCAGGGAGGAGGUACUGCCUCAAGUGGAAGAGUUCAAGUAUCUCGGGGUCUCGUUCAUGAGUGAUCGUAGAAGAGAUGGAGAGCUGGAUAGACGGAUCGGAGCUGCAUCUGCAGUUUUGUUGGUAGCACUUAACUGGUUCAUCAAAUGUUACAACCUAAAAGUUUGCUAUUCACGAACAAAUUAAUGA